rnacentral:rRNA from 1 species
AGUGAAUAGAUACCCAGGUAGUCCACGCCGUAAACGAUGAUCACUCGCUGUUUGCGAUAUACAGUAAAGCGGCUUAGCGAAAGCAAUAAGUGAUCCACCUGGGGAGUACGAUCGCAAGGUUGAAACUCAAAGGAAUUGACGGGGGCCCGCACAAGCGGAGGAACAUGUGGUUUAAUUCGAUGAUACGCGAGGAACCUUACCUGGGCUUAAAUGGGGAUUGACAGCUGCUGAAAGGUGGCCUUCUUCGGACAAUCUCCAAGGUGCUGCAUGAUUGUCGUCAGCUCGUGCCGUGAGGUGUCGGGUUAAGUCCCAUAACGAGCGCAACCCUUACUGUUAGUUGCCAGCGCGUCAAGGCGGGGACUCUAGCGGGACCGCCACCGUAAGGUGAGAGGAAGGUGGGGAUGACGUCAAAUCAGCACGGCCCUUAUGUCCAGGGCUACACACGUGUUACAAUGGCCGGUACAAAGGACAGCUACACUGCGAAGUGAUGCUAAUCUCGAAAGCCGG